rnacentral:rRNA from 1 species
UUGAAAGGGAAACGAUUGAAGUCAGUCGUACCUGCGGACAAUCAGCCUUUCGGGUGCGAUUAUGUGGAGCGUGGGGAGCUAAACACCUUCAUGCCUGCGUAUUUGUAUUCUGGGGUGUACUUGGACGUGCGGUAGGUUAACAUCAAUUUUGGUCGUUAUAAAAUGACUAGGGGAAUGUAGCUUUGAUCCCGUAUUGAAGUGUUAUAGCCUCUGGUAAAUGCAGUGACUAGGAUUGAGGAUUGCAACGGAUACCUUUCGGGGCUACUCGUCUGAUCUCUGGAAGUUACUUUGGUGCUAAAAGCUUGCUUAUGGUUAUCGAAGUUGACGGUCAAUAGGUUAGAACGAGUUAAAUUCGUUAAGGAUGUUGACGUA